AUGCUGAUAUGUUUUAUUUGUAAGGCACACCAGAAAAGUUCUGCAUUGCUUUGUCAGCAUUUGAGACUUCGCCAUGGAUUAUAUCCAGGAAAGACAUUACGUUUGAAAUGUGGACAAUCGGGAUGUUCUUUAUCAUUUUGUACGUAUUCAGGGUUCAAAAAACACCUUGUUCGUUUGCACAAGGACACUUGUUCACCAAAUAAACACCUCGUUCAUUUGCACAGGGCCACUUGUUCACCAAAUACUAUUGACAAUGUGGACGCUCAAAGUGAAGGUGAUGAGCCUUCAAGUUCUCAGGCAUUCUGUACAGACACUCCAGUAACUAGCCGGACCUCUGUUGACAAGCAUCAUUUGUUAAACCUGUGUGGAUCUGUUGUAGCACAAUUGCAAGCAUCAGGUGUUGCUGAGAGCACUGUCCAAGCAAUGGUAGGGUCAAUGGAAGAGCUUGUAAAUGACAUUCAUGAGCAAACAAGAGAAGCUGUUCUCAGCUGUACUUCUUCAGAGAUUCAAGCAACCGAUUUGGAAGAAAAGGUGGAAAAUUGUUUUGAUCAAUUGGAAAAUCCUUUCUCAGUCUUAAAUACAGCAGCCAAACGACAGAAGUUCUUUGAGGAAAAGUGGGAAAUAGUUGAACCUGUAGAGUAUGUUCUUGGGGUGCGUUUUGAUUUGCGAAGAGAUCGGACAACAGGAGUUUACAAUCAGAUCCCUGUAACAGAUAAAUUUGUGUAUGUACCCAUCUUGGGAACCCUGAAAUCUAUGUUUAAGAAUAGUGAAUUAUGUGAAAGUUUCCUGCAAGUCAAGCAACAUAAAGAAGGUGUUUAUAAAGAUAUAUGUGAUGGUUCAUACUUCAAAAGUAAUGAUUUGUUUUCCCAGCAAAAACAUGCUCUACAGAUUCAGCUUUAUUACGAUGAUUUUGAGACGGCAAAUCCCUUGGGUUCAAAGAAAGGGAUACACAAGCUUGGUUGCAUUUACUUUAUAUUGAGGAACCUGCCCCCAAAAUGUAAUUCUGUUCUGAUGAAUAUUCAUGUUGUGGCACUUUUUCAUUCACAAGACCUGAGGAAAUAUGGUUUUGAUGAAAUACUAAAGCCUCUCAUUUAUGAUGUUAAAACACUAGAAAUGGAAGGAAUAGAGGUACCUUUCUCAGACUCACCAUUGCGAGGGACUGUUAUUCAAGUAACAGGUGAUUAUCUAGGUUUGCACGGAUUGUUUGGUUUGAUUGAAUCCUUCAGUGCAACAUAUUUCUGUAGAUUUUGUUUAACUACAAAGGAAGAGUUACAAUCUGUCUUCACUGAAGAUAACCCUUGCUUGAUUUUCCGUACAAAAGAAAUGCAUGCAGAACAUUGUGCAUCUCUACAGGAAAAUCCUAUGUUGGCAUCAACAUUUGGUGUCAAGAAGACAUGCUUGCUCAAUACAUUAUGUUUUUACCACAUCUCUGAUAACUAUGCAGUGGACAUCAUGCAUGAUUUACUUGAAGGUGUAGUGCAGUACAAAUUGAAACUAGUAUUUCAAUACCUGGUCAAUAACAAGAAUCUGUCUUUAGAAACAUUGUCACAGAGGAUCCAAAGUUUCAACUACGGUUAUAUUGAGCGAAAAAACAGGCCAAGUGGGUUGAAAAUGGAUGAGGGUAGUAAAGAUCUUGGAUUGAAUGCAAUUCAGUCAUGGUGUCUUGUGCGAAAUGCUCCCCUGAUUUUUGGUGAUGUAAUUGAAAGAAAUAACAGUCACUGGAACUUGCUCCUCCUCUUGAUUCAGAUAGUGAAUAUAGUGUUUUCACCAGUUGUUACUAAUGGUUUGACGUAUUAUUUGAAGCAUUUGAUUAAUGAUCACCACAAGCUGUUCAGAUCCUUGUUUCCUGACAGAAGAUUAAUUCCAAAGCAUCAUUUUAUGAUCCAUUAUCCAAGGUGCAUUCGUAAAAUAGGUCCACUUCUUCAUGUAUGGUGCAUGAGGUUUGAGGCCAAACAUAAUGUUUUUAAACGAUCUGUUAAAAAUUUCAAAAAUAUCACAAAAACCUUGGUAAAACAACACCAGAGACAGUUAGCUUAUCACUGGGAGAAUUUUAAUUUUCAGAGAUUUGAGUUUGGUCCAGUGAGGAAAGAAAUGAUCGAUAACUUGGAGAAUUUAAGUGCUAAGUUUCAUGUGAAUGCAUUUUCUGAUGUGUCAACUACUAAUUGGGUGAAAAACUUUGGAACUGAGUAUCAAAUUGGUAUAUUUGUUUGUAUUACAACAGAUAUGGAAAUUCCUGUGUUCAGAAAGAUCACAAAUAUCAUUAUUAAUGAAGGGGGGUAA
ensembl:lncRNA